rnacentral:rRNA from 1 species
AACGAACGCUGGCGGCAUGCCUAACACAUGCAAGUCGAACGAGAUCUUCGGGUCUAGUGGCGCACGGGUGCGUAACGCGUGGGAAUCUGCCCUUUGGUUCGGAAUAACAGUUGGAAACGACUGCUAAUACCGGAUGAUGACGAAAGUCCAAAGAUUUAUCGCCAGAGGAUGAGCCCGCGUAGGAUUAGCUAGUUGGUGUGGUAAAGGCGCACCAAGGCGACGAUCCUUAGCUGGUCUGAGAGGAUGAUCAGCCACACUGGGACUGAGACACGGCCCAGACUCCUACGGGAGGCAGCAGUGGGGAAUAUUGGACAAUGGGCGAAAGCCUGAUCCAGCAAUGCCGCGUGAGUGAUGAAGGCCUUAGGGUUGUAAAGCUCUUUUACCCGGGAUGAUAAUGACAGUACCGGGAGAAUAAGCUCCUGCUAACUACGUGCCAGCCGCCGCAGUAA